rnacentral:lncRNA from 1 species
GUUUUUAAAAACAAUUCAUUCAAAUUUGAUUUAAUUUACAAAAUUAUUAUAUACCUAAACUGUAAUAAACAAAUAAAGCUAGCGGGGAAAAUAGAUUAGCAUGCUUUGCGGUCCAUUUGGUAAAUGUGUAAUUCACAGGUAUAUUUACUGUAUGUUUAGUAUUUUCAGUUUUAAUUCAGUUUUUGAAACGAAACCUUACGAGGGAAAAUAGCGUGGGUUGAAUAUUUGAGGUUGGGCGGAUGACGCUAAUUUGAGUGUAUAGUUCCCUGUAGGGUACACACCCUAUAUAGUUAUUUGCACACGUAACGUGACGCAAAUAACUAAUUGUAUGAUUAAACGUCCCGCAAACCUCUUGUUCUUUGGAAUGACGGAAUACAGAAGAUGUAUAGGCAUAACGGUUGCAACCUUUCGUAAUCAAGACUCCGACGGUAAACACAGGAUUUGUACAAAUAUCACCAAAUUGUAUUAAAGGUAAGAUGUUCAGAUGAAAUAUAUACAAAUGUGGAGCGAUUCCAGAAGUCCAUUUUAUGGCUUUCAAACAUCAUGGAAACGAUGUAUUAAUACAUCUAUAAUAUUCUUUAUACAUUAUUAAAAAACUCAAUAAUUCAUGAAGAAAACACAAAGAAAAAUCAUAAGCGUGUCGUAUCUGUAUAAUAAUAAUAAUAAUAAUUUAUUCAAACAAAGUCCCAAUGUUGGGACAUAGAAUACAUGGGUAAAUAACUAAAUAAGUCGUU